GGCACCUGGAUGUGGGUUUUGCGCGGUAACGCAACUGAACACGGAGACGACGGCGGGGGCCCCGGGCAGAGUUCUCUUUUCUUCUUAACGGUCCAUCACCCUGAAAACAGUUUGUCUGGAGAUAGGGUUUAACGGCCGGAAGAGCCCGACACUUCUGUCGGGUCCGGUGCGCUCUCGACGUCCCUUGAAAAUCCGUGGGAGGGAAUAAUUCUCACGCCARGUCG
rnacentral:rRNA from 1 species